GUCUCCGUAGGUGAACCUGCGGAGGGAUCAUUACACAAAUAUGAAGGCGGGCUGGAACCUCUCGGGGUUACAGCCUUGCUGAAUUAUUCACCCUUGUCUUUUGCGUACUUCUUGUUUCCUUGGUGGGUUCGCCCACCACUAGGACAAACAUAAACCUUUUGUAAUUGCAAUCAGCGUCAGUAACAAAUUAAUAAUUACAACUUUCAACAACGGAUCUCUUGGUUCUGGCAUCGAUGAAGAACGCAGCGAAAUGCGAUAAGUAGUGUGAAUUGCAGAAUUCAGUGAAUCAUCGAAUCUUUGAACGCACAUUGCGCCCUUUGGUAUUCCAAAGGGCAUGCCUGUUCGAGCGUCAUUUGUACCCUCAAGCUUUGCUUGGUGUUGGGCGUCUUGUCUCUAGCUUUGCUGGAGACUCGCCUUAUAGUAAUUGGCAGCCGGCCUACUGGUUUCGGAGCGCAGCACAAGUCGCACUCUCUAUCAGCAAAGGUCUAGCAUCCAUUAAGCCUUUUUUUCAACUUUUGACCUCGGAUCAGGUAGGGAUACCCGCUGAACUUAAGCAUAUCA
rnacentral:rRNA from 1 species